rnacentral:lncRNA from 1 species
AGGAAAAAUGGCGGGAAUGAUUAUAUUAAAAUAGUUGAUAAAAAAUAAGAAUCAACUUUUAACUCUUUGAAGUUUAGGAACUUAAUUAAAAAUCUGAACUAAAUUUGGAGAACCAAAAGCAUAAUCUAUCUUUUUUUGAUAAUUUGAAUUUUGAUGUCUUUGCCACAUUAAAUUAUCUAAUUUCAAAUAUUUAUAGGAAAUUUGAAAAUAUGCCGUGCACAUUCUUCCUACUUAUAAGUAUUUACUGUCUGUUUGGUACAAAAGAUAGAUUGAAAGAAGG